ensembl:rRNA 5S_rRNA 5S ribosomal RNA
AUCUAUGGCCAUUCCACCCUGAAUGCACCUGAUCUUGUCUGAUCUCAGAAGCUAAGCAGAGUCAAGCCUGGUUAGUACUUGGAUGGGAGAAAACAUGAAUGACCUGUAUAGGAAAAAAGUGGAGUUAUAAAAA